AGAGAGCUCACAGAAGAUGGACUUGAAAAAAACUUUGCUGCCAAUACUCUGGGUGUGUACAUUCUCACGACCGGCCUGAUCCCUGUGCUGGAGAAAGAACACGACCCCCGAGUGAUAACCGUCUCCUCAGGAGGAAUGUUGGUUCAGAAACUGAACACCAAUGAUCUCCAGUCCGAAAGAACACCAUUUGAUGGAACUAUGGUCUAUGCACAAAACAAGGGCGCCCACAUUGUCUGUAAGGCUGCCAGCACCCUCCGCCUUCCUUGUCGCUGCUGUGUGCCUUCCGAAGGUGGCCCUGUCUGAGACUCUCUGCACCUCCACUUCUUCUGUUUAUAUGCCCUGGGUGUGCCCCAGUUUUGCUCCUUGACCCCAGACCAAAUCCUGGUGAAUUACAUCUCAUGACUCCAAAUCCUGACAUUUGAAAGACCUGCACUUCUUUACAGUUUUCCCAGAGGACAUGGGAAUAAACCAUCCACUUGUAAAUGAG
rnacentral:lncRNA from 1 species